rnacentral:rRNA from 1 species
AUUGAACGCUGGCGGCAGGCCUAACCCAUGCAAGUCGAGCGAGCGGCGGACGGGUGAGCAAUGUAUGGGGACUGCCCGAUAGAGGGGGAUAACUACCGGAAACGGUGGCUAAUACCGCAUACUGUCUGAGAAUCCAAAUGGGAUUAGCUAGUAGGAAAGGUAAUGGUUUACCUAGGCGACGAUCCAUAGCUGGUCUGAGAGGAUGAUCAGCCACACUGGGACUGAGACACGGCCCAGACUCCGACGGAGGCAGCAGUGGGGAAUAUUGCACAAUGGGCGCAAGCCUGAUGCAGCCAUGCCGAGUGUAUGAAGAAGGCCCUAGGGUUGUAAAGUACUUUCAGUCGGGAGGCGUUACCGACAGAAGAAGCACCGGCUAACUCCGUGCCAGCAGCCGCGGUAAUUC